CAUAGGAAUUUGUCAGAUUGACUGAUAUCCAAUAACAUAUAAACUGUUCUUCCAUUGGUGGAGUCAAGUCGAGAUGAUAAGUAUUAUAUAGAAUCGAAAAAACAAAUCUUUAUCAUAUAGAGAAAUAGAUAGAAAUACACAGAGUCAUUAGUCUUCUAACUCUAGCUCUGUCACUUCCUAUUUACUACUAUUAUUUAUAUUAACUCUACGCCUGUGUUUUUUUCUAAUUUUUAGAUCUAAGUUUCGCACUCACAUCAAAUUUUGUUUCAUUUUCACAAAACCAAUAACGCAAAUCGUACUCAUCUCUCAGUACUGCUCUCAUUGACCCACCGUGCCAAAGGUCAUUCAAAAUUCAGCGGCCAAGCUCGGGGGGCGACUUGCCCCAGUUUCGGAGGGUAAAUUCAAACACUCUUACAAUGUUCAUGGAUAACGACGUUGAAGGUGGUAAUCUUGGGCCAUACGCUGACAGGCCGAGGGUUUUCCCCAGCAUGCGUAGUAAAGUUCACACCCCAUUGAUAUUUCGGAUUCUCAUGGGAAUAAAUGUCCGUGUUCUUUUAGUAUUUCUACUUUUGGGACUAGGUGCAAUCUUUUACGUUGGAGCAAAAACUUCUCCAAUCAUUGUUUUUGUCUUCUCCAUAUGUAUUAUAAGCUUCCUUUUCUCAAUAUAUCUUACUAAGUGGGUGCUCGCAAAGGAUGAGGGGCCUCCUGAGAUGGUUCAGGUACAUCAUCUAUUUUCAGUUUCUUUUGCUCAUGAUGUUAUUUGUCUUUUUGUCUGUAUGUUUUCACAGUAAUUAUUUUUGGUAGUAGAUCAUAAAUUUGUUGUUUAAUUUUUGUUACUAUAAUUUCAAUAGGAC